UAGUGGCGGACGGGUGAGUAACGCGUGGGUAACCUGCCAUAUACAGGGGGAUAACACUUAGAAAUAGGUGCUAAUACCGCAUAAGCGCACAGGGGCGCAUGCCCCGGUGUGAAAAACUGAGGUGGUAUAGGAUGGACCCGCGUCUGAUUAGCUUGUUGGUGGGGUAACGGCUCACCAAGGCGACGAUCAGUAGCCGGCCUGAGAGGGCGACCGGCCACAUUGGGACUGAGACACGGCCCAAACUCCUACGGGAGGCAGCAG
rnacentral:rRNA from 1 species